GGGCAUUUGGUUUAGUGGUAUGAUUUUUGCUUUAGGUGCAAGAGAUUCUGAGUUCAAUUCUUAGAAUGCCCU
rnacentral:tRNA from 1 species